GACGGAGGAUGCAAGCGUUAUCCGGAAUUACUGGGCGUAAAGCGUGCGCAGGCGGUUAUGUAAGACAGGUGUGAAAUCCCCGGGCUUAACCUGGGAACUGCAUUUGUGACUGCAUAGCUAGAGUACGGUAGAGGGGGAUGGAAUUCCGCGUGUAGCAGUGAAAUGCGUAGAUAUGCGGAGGAACACCGAUGGCGAAGGCAAUCCCCUGGACCUGUACUGACGCUCAUGCACGAAAGCGUGGGGAGCAAACAGG
rnacentral:rRNA from 1 species